rnacentral:Y_RNA from 2 species
GGCUGGUUUGACUCAGUGGUAUUUACAAUUAAUUGAACACAGCCAAUUACAGAUUUCUGUGUUCUUUCUCCACUUCCACUGCUUCACUUGACUAGCCUUAA